rnacentral:rRNA from 1 species
UACAGAGGGUGCUAGCGUUGUUCGGAAUCAUUGGGCGUAAAGGGUGCGUAGGCGGGUCUUUAAGUCAGGGGUGAAAUCCUGGAGCUCAACUCCAGAACUGCCCUUGAUACUGGGAGCCUUGAGUUCGGGAGAGGUGAGUGGAACUGCGAGUGUAGAGGUGAAAUUCGUAGAUAUUCGCAAGAACACCAGUGGCGAAGGCGGCUCACUGGCCCGAUACUGACGCUGAGGUGCGAAAGCGUGGGGAGCAAACAGG